rnacentral:rRNA from 1 species
AUACGUAGGGGGCGAGCGUUGUCCGGAAUGAUUGGGCAUAAAGGGCGCGUAGGCGGCCCGGUAAGUCUGGAGUGAAAGUCCUGUUUUUAAGAUGGGAAUUGCUUUGGAUACUGUCGGGCUUGAGUGCAGGAGAGGUAAGUGGAAUUCCCAGUGUAGCGGUGAAAUGCGUAGAGAUUGGGAGGAACACCAGUGGCGAAGGCGACUUACUGGACUGUAACUGACGCUGAGGCGCGAAAGUGUGGGGAGCAAACAGGAUUAGAUACCCUGGUAGUCCACACUGUAAACGAUGAAUGCUAGGUGUAGGGGGUAUCGACCCCUUCUGUGCCGCAGUCAACACAAUAAGCAUUCCGCCUGGGGAGUACGGCCGCAAGGUUGAAACUCAAAUGAAUUGGCGGGG